rnacentral:rRNA from 1 species
AUUGAACGCUGGCGGCAGGCCUAACACAUGCAAGUCGAACGGUAACAGGAAGCAGCUUGCUGCUUUGCUGACGAGUGGCGGACGGGUGAGUAAUGUCUGGGAAACUGCCUGAUGGAGGGGGAUAACUACUGGAAACGGUAGCUAAUACCGCAUAACGUCGCAAGACCAAAGAGGGGGACCUUAGGGCCUCUUGCCAUCGGAUGUGCCCAGAUGGGAUUAGCUAGUAGGUGGGGUAACGGCUCACCUAGGCGACGAUCCCUAGCUGGUCUGAGAGGAUGACCAACCACAAUGGAACUGAGACACGGUCCAGACGCCUACGGGAGGCAGCAGUGGGAAAUAUUGCACAAUGGGCGCAAGCCUGAUGCAGCCAUGCCGCGUGUAUGAAGAAGGCCUUCGGGUUGUAAAGUACUUUCAGCGGGGAGGAAGGGAGUAAGUUAAUACCUUUGCUCAUUGACGUUACCCGCAGAAGAAGCACCGGCUAACUCCGUG